AGGCAGCAAAUAGGAGCAUAAAAAACGGGUUAGAAGGUGCACUCAGCCAUCCUGAUGAAGCCUGCUUAGACAGGCGAAACUAGUUGAUCGCAGAGGCACUAACAACGUCUGCCGGCAGACACCAGAUGUUUUAUGCUUCCAGUUACUGAAGUCGCUAAUGAUAAAAAGAUGGAUGAUGAAUCACAAUACCAAGGAGUCAUCAGGACUUUGUUUUGGAAGUAGAGUCAAACAAUCACUGAUAAUUCCACAACAAUGGUAACAGCACAGAUGCAAAUCCAAUUGAGAUUCUUUUGGCAGUUGUAAAGAAAAAACACAAGAAGAAGAUGAUCACCACCAAGACUGGCCUCAUAGAAGAACUUAUCCGAAUAUGGCAUAAGGAUGAAGACAUCAAGGGAAAAUGUGAAACUCCCAUGAACAGCAUGGAAAACUGUAACAAAAUGAUAAUAAACAACAAAGUAUAUCAUACUCUUCGCAAGCAUAAUGGCUUUUAUUAACGCUGUAUGCUUGAAGUAAAUCACAAGAGACAGCUCUCCCAAUAAGAGCUGUCCUUUGUGAUGACAGGACUUCCGGGUUUAUGGCCCUGAGUCUUGUCUGCAUAUGCGUUGGCUGGUGCACAUGCUGCAGGGGAUGCUGGGUGGGAUUCAAUGGGAUCUUUCUUAGGGGUGAAAUCCAAAGAAACCCAGCACAUCCAAGCGAUACAUAUGCAGUAAGCGUCAAACCUCUGAAGACUGAGUUAGAGAGCAAAACCGUUAUUGAUGCAUACAACCAAAAGUAUAACAGUU